rnacentral:rRNA from 1 species
UACGGAGGUGGCGAGCGUUACUCGGAAUCAUUGGGUGUAAAGGGCAAGUAGGCGGCUUAUUAAGUGAGGGGUGAAAUCUUCCGGCUCAAUCGGGAAAUUGCCUUUCAAACUAAUAUGCUUGAGGCUGGAAAGGGGAAGUGGAAUUAGCAGUAUAAGGGUGAAAUCUGUAGAUAUUGCUAAGAACACCGGUGGCGAAGGCGGCUCACUGGCCCGGUACUGACGCUGAGGUGCGAAAGCGUGGGGAGCAAACAGG